rnacentral:rRNA from 1 species
CCUACGGGAGGCAGCAGUGAGGAAUAUUGGUCAAUGGACGAGAGUCUGAACCAGCCAAGUAGCGUGAAGGAUGACUGCCCUAUGGGUUGUAAACUUCUUUUAUAUGGGAAUAAAACGUUCCACGUGUGGGAUUUUGUAUGUACCAUAUGAAUAAGGAUCGGCUAACUCCGUGCCAGCAGCCGCGGUAAUACGGAGGAUCCGAGCGUUAUCCGGAUUUAUUGGGUUUAAAGGGAGCGUAGGUGGAUUGUUAAGUCAGUUGUGAAAGUUUGCGGCUCAACCGUAAUAUUGCAGUUGAAACUGGCAGUCUUGAGUACAGUAGAGGUGGGCGGAAUUCGUGGUGUAGCGGUGAAAUGCUUAGAUAUCACGAAGAACUCCGAUUGCGAAGGCAGUUCACUGGACUGCAACUGACACUGAGGCUCGAAAGUGUGGGUAUCAAACAGGAUUAGAUACCCCGGUAGUC